GCCUGGCUGGAUCAGUUGGUAGAGCAUGUGACUCUGGAUCUCAGAGUCAUGAGUUCAAACCCCAUGUAGGGCA
rnacentral:tRNA from 1 species